ensembl:snRNA U6 U6 spliceosomal RNA
CUGCACAUGCACAUAUACUAAAAUUGGAACCAUACAGAGAAGAUUAGCAUGGCCCCUGUGCAAGAAUGACACACAAUUUUGUGAAGCAUUUCAUAUAUAU